rnacentral:rRNA from 1 species
UGGGGAAUUUUGGGCAAUGAGCGAAAGCUUGACCCAGCGACACUGCGUGGGCGAUGAAGAUCUUUGGAUUGUAAAGCCCUUUUAUGGAAGAGUAAGGAGAUGGUGAGGAAAUGAACUGUCUCUUGCAAGUAUUUCAUGAAUAAGCCCCAGCCAACUACGUGCCAGCAGCUGCGGUAAUACGUAGGGGGCAAGCGUUGUCCGGAAUUACUGGGUGUAAAGGGUGUGCAGGCGUCCUGUUAAGUUGGUUGUGAAAACCCGGAGCUCAACUCCGGAACUGCAGCCAAUACUGAUGGGAUCGAGGGUAUGAGAAGGAAGCGGAAUUCUCGGUGUAGCGGUGAAAUGCGUAGAUAUCGAGAGGAACACCUGCGGCGAAAGCGGCUUCCUAACAUACUUCUGACGC